rnacentral:lncRNA from 1 species
CUAAAAAUCAAUCAGUGAGACAAUGGCUGGAACCAAUGAUAUUAAAAUUAAAGGGUUUGAUUUGAGCAACAACAAAGGCAACACGUCGGGAUUAACCCACUUCGCCAACAGAGCUGCCGAGGGCGACAAGGGCGACAAUAAAAUCGAGGUUGAGGAUGCUAAAGGGCAAGGGAACACGGGAAACUUGAAAGUACUGACCGACUUCGCCCAACGCGGUAAAGUGGGCCAGUCGGAUCGCCAAGAACUACUCAAACCUCAGGCAUGAAAUUGAAGAAGGCCAGACCACAACAACUUGUCUGCUUGAUAGAUAUAUGUGCUAAAUUAUCUACACAAAAAUAAGAGCUGAUGUUUUAUCUGAGGCUCCUUCCUUGGUUAGGCCUCGUUAUCAUGUGUAAUAUUAAUAUUAUUAUUCUAAUAAAAUAAUGGUAGCUUAUUAUUAAAUAUAUCAGAAUUCUAUACGUAUAACUUUUAGAUUAUUGAUACUGAUGUCAACAAGAGAAAAUGAUUAAAAAUUCCUUUCUCCAAUUCGUGAUGUUAGACAAGAAGCAAACAAAUUUAGGAUAAUGGAUUUUAAAAGUUUGGUGACAAAUGAUGGUAAAGAAGAAUUUAGCCACUACUACAAAAAGUGAAAAAGACGACCAGAAAACAACGACGGUCUAAGUGAAAACCGUCGUGGUUUAUAAAAAGACGACGGUUCUAAAAACACCGUCGUGUAAUACAACCUUAGACAACUAAAAAAUGGAGUUUCAAAUGGCUGUUCAAAAACAACGACGUACAUAAUUAAACAACCGACGUCUAUUUGAAACAGAUUUCCUCAGUGUAAAAUCAAUGCCAACAAAGAACGGCAGAAGUUAUGAAUCGACCGACGUAGAAAGUAAAGACGACGAUUUCAAUAAAAACUGCCGUUUUUACUCAUAAAAUAACACGACGAGGUUUUCGUAUAAGACGCCGUAUAAUUACAAACAAAUCCACGGCUUUAAAAUACAAAAUAUCGCCGUAUUAAAUUAAUUUACAACGACGGAAAAUAUAAAUAUAUCGACGUCAUUCUCGUAUAGUUCUACUACGUUAUCUUUAAAUCGUACAAUAAAAUUUAUCGUCGUAUUUAUUCAUUUUAUACGUCGUACCUUUAAUUUUAACGGUCGUCUUAAUAAGAAUUUUUGUUAACAAUUUUUUUCUUUGAUUUUCUUAUCCUACGUCGGUAGAUCUACUUAAUGACAAGAAUUGAAAUAACCACGACGGUUUAUAUAGAACACCGCCGACAUAAUCAGUUUUGUCUGAGAUCCCAAGGGUUACGAAAUCUUACCAGAUGGAACUCUGUUCCACAUCAUAAUCUUAACAGAUGACACAGAUUUGCAAAUAUUGCGUCGUGUUAGUUUACAAAUUCUAGAACAUUAAUUUCCCUCAUUUUAAAUUUCCUCGGGAAAGAAAAAUCUAUUUAUCACGCUUUGGAAUUGAAAACUAAAACUGAAAGAAUACGGGAAAAAAAACUCCAUUUAUAAUUUAAAAUUAAAAUCCACGUCGGUUGUAGUACACUUAACGACGUUUAACAAAAUAAUCUACGUCGGUAAUUAUAAAUCUACCGCCAUCGUAACUUAAUAUAGACGACGAGAAAAGACGACGGUAGAACAGAAAACCGCCGUUGUUUCAGUUUCUUUAACAUAUCUUUCUGCAGGACUUGUGUAGUUCAAAGCAUUGACAAUGUCUUCAUCAUAUCUCCCAGAAACUACUGAUUCAAUUGCUCAUGCUUUAGAGGCCAUCUGAAGCCAUUUCUAUUCUUUAUCGCAUUCUUGAAACCCAUCUUCUUCUUCUGAAGCUCUACGGAUAAAGGAAGAGGCUAUCACAAUAAAUCCGACGGAUCUUCUUAGGCAAGAAAAUCAAGCAGAGGAUCAGGCACAUCUGAUCUUCAGAUUUCCCUGAGAAGCGAACUUUCCUUCGACAGCGAGUGGAGGCCAGGCUUGCAUCUCUUUUGAUGGAAAGCAAGGAGUAUUCAGAAGCACUAAGUGUCCUAUCAGGCUUGAUCAAGGAAGUGAGAAGGCUAGUUGACAAGCUUCUUCUUGUGGACAUAUAUUUGAUGCGAGUAAGCUCAAUUUCUCUUUGAGAAAACAUCCAAAUUAUUAUCUUUGAGACAUGAGAGACUGAGAGAGGAAGAACUUGGAACCUUAAAUGUAAACCGAAAAUGAAUGAAAGCGACAAAUUUAUAGAAUAAAUUUUUAAAACCAACGGCGGUCCUUACAAACAAACCGCCGUUUAAAUUGUAAAAUCAACGUCGGUAUGAUCGACGUAUAUUACAGAAAUCCACGUCGGUAAAUUAAUAAAAACGACGUGUUAAAUAAUAUACCAUGACGCGAGUUAUUACUUAUGUACUUUAAUUUUUGAGUUUACUACGACGGUACCUACAAACUACUGUCGUAUUUAUUUACCACGUCCGAAGUUAAAUGUACCGUCGUAUUUUGUAAUUUAUACGUCGUAGUUAUAUGUAACCGCCAUAUUAUUUUUUUGAAAUGGUUUUAUAUGUAAGCAACUUUUCGUCUACUUGACUUACACAUUUGUUGUUUUUAUAUUCUUAUUUUAUUUAAAUCUGUCAUCCAAAAAAGAAACUUUACAUAUUGCAGAAUAUUAAUUUCCUUCGUUUUAAAUUUCCUCCGGAAAAAAAACUCUAUUUAUAACGCACUGUAAUUGAAAAAUAAACUGAAAGGUCACGGGAAAAAAAAUUCUAUUCAUAAUUUAAAAAUUAAAAUCCACGUCGGUUAUAUUAAACCUAACGACGUUAAAUGAAAUGAUUCCACGUCGAAUGAAAAAUAUUGCGUCGUUUUAGUUAAAAACGACGUAGUUAAAUGUAACCGCCGUAUUAUUUUUUUGAAAUGGUUUUAUAUGUAAGCAACUUUUCGACUUACACAUGCACUGUUUCCAAACCCGAUUAAAAAUUUCAAUCUCCCAGAGAAACCUUUUCGUCUUUUUUCCUUGUCAGAGCAUUGUCAGAGUUUUUCAUCGUCUUCCUCUCGUCUUCUUCGUCGUCUCUGAACUUAAACAUCGAUCAUCUUCCUCUUGCUUUCAUUGCACGCAAAAGGUAAGCUUUCAUUUUCACUAUUUUGGUUACUGUUUUGCAUGCUCAUACGUUUUUUGUUUGAAAAAUCUUUUUACCUUUUUUCUGGCCAAAAUCAUUUUACUUCUUUCCAAGUUUGAUAAAAUAUACAGACAAAGAGAGAAAGUUUCCAACUUUGAAGACAACUACAUCAACUAAAUAAGACGACGGUAGACCACGACGGUUCGUCAGUUGUUCUAGCGUCGUCUGAAAAUUGACAAAGUUGUUUUUAAAAUAAUAGUCUUUUUUUAUAUGCUUGUUUAAUUGCAGGUUUGAUUUCGCUGAACAAUGGUUUUUGUUUUUCCCUUAUUUGAUAAAAUAUAAAGAAAAAGAAACUAGGGUUGGUAUCUAAUAUAGACGAUAAAAUAUAAAUAAUAGUUUACCACGACGGUGUAUUACUAUUGACGUCGUGUGAACAUAUAUACCACGACGUUAUAUAAAUAAUGGUUUUAAACAUUUAUUACGUCUGAGAUUAUUUCAUUGCGUCGUCUAAAAUCAUAUCAUACGUCGUAUUUUUUUAAUACCGUCGUUUGUGUUCUUAAUGUUUUCCUGAAAUAUUUUCACUUGCAGUUUUGUCUGUUAAAAUGGUUUCUCAACAACAAACUAAGGAUUCUGGCUCCAAGAAGCUUGGAAUGGUAGCUCCUCAAGAUAAGUCUUCGAAGGAGAUGAAGUCUUCGAAGAAGAUGAAGUUUGCUUCAUCAUCUGCUGAGACAGAACAAACCAGCCAGACAACAAUCUCAGAUGAUUCAAAGACUGGUCGAGGUAUGAGCACAAUGCCUCGUGUUGUGAAGAGAAAGCUUCAGAAACUGAGGCCAAUUGUUGAGUACAAUAAAAGGGGGAAAGGUGUUGGCCAAGCACAUAUUGAGAUGCAGUCGUAUAUUGGUGUGUUGGCACGCUCCAGGAUCCCACUUGUGGACAAGAAAUGGUCCCAAAUCCCCAAGGAUAUAAAGGAGCAGAUUUGGGAAGCAGUUGACAUGGCUUUUGUCGUAGGCCAAGGGGGCAAGACCUCUGUUUUAGCUUCUGCUUCCAAGAAAUGGAAGGAUUUCAAGUCUACACUAACGAGGCAUUAUAUCCUUCCAUACACCAAUGACAGGGAGAAAUUAAGCCAACCCCCUGAAACAUAUAAAUUCAUAGAGAAAGCACAAUGGGAUGCCUUUGUAGCUUCAAGGCUAUCCAAAGAUUUUGAGUCUGUGCAUUCUCAACAUGCACAGAUUAGGGAGAAACUCGAGUACAAUCAUCGAUUGUCUCGAAAAGGAUAUGCUGGAUUGGAGGAUCAAUUGGAGGAAACCAUGCCUGGGGUAGAAAUUGAUCGAUCUACCUUAUGGAAGAGAGCUAGACAGGACAAACAUGGUAACAUCCCUGAUCCAAAGGUGGCAGAGAAAGCAAAAUUAAUUGUAAGCCUACUAUCACUCUGUUUUAAAUUUUUAUUAAACUGUGAAUUAUUCUUAUUACGUCGUAUGUUAUAUUUUUCGUCGUGUGAAUGAUAUUACCACGUCGAAAAGUUUUUAAAAACGUCGUUAAAGGUCUAAAUAGGAAUCACUACUAUGUUUUCUGUAAUUACAGCAUAAGACGUCGGUGGUUCAUUUUCGCGUCGUGUGAAUGAUAUUACCACGUCGAAAAUUUUUUAAAAACGUCGUUAACGGUCUAAAUAGGAAUCACUACUCUGUUAUCUUUAAUUAUAGCAUAAGACGUCGGUUGUUUAUUCAUUUCGUCGUUUUAAAUAAAUAACCACGUCGGUAUAACUACCGUCGUGAUAAGUUAUAAUAACGUCGGUUUAUACGUUAUUGCGUCGUGUGAAAUUAUAUAAUACGUCGUUUGUACAUAAAUAACCGUCGUGUGUUUUUUUGUUUAUCUUUUUUUAGGAUGAAUUGCAGAAACAAGUCUCGGAAGGCAAAGUCAGAGUAGAUGGCAGCAAUGAUGUGCUGACCAUGGCUUUGGGCCCCGAGCAUCCAGGCAGACUGAGGGGAGUUGGUGCUGGUGUUUCCCCAAGGCAAUAUUUCAAUUUGCCCAAACCACAGAGGGUGAGCUUUGACGACCGUUUGAAGGACAGUUUAAGAGUUCUCCUUCAAGAAGAGACUAAAAAGAUGGAGGCUAAGGCAAGGGAAGAGGCCUUAAGGAUGGAGGCUAGGACAAAACAAUUGGUAGAGGCUGAGAGGGAGCAUUUCCUGAGUCAGCUUUCCCAAUUAAUUCCCAAUUUUGAUCCAAGCAUGCUUAAACCAAGAAUUAGCCAAAGCCCCAAAAAUCCAAUGUCUGACAAAGCUAGCUGCUCUGGAGGUGAUGUGAGAUCCCUACAUUUGGAGGAUGAUACUGCCAAAAUGGGGAAACAUCAGCCAGAUGAAGAGAAGGAAGAAGAAAAAAGAGAUGAAGAGAAGGAAGAAGAAAAGGAGAAAGAAGAUGAAGAAAAGCAUGACGACAAGGUAUGUUCACAUAACUUUGCCUUUUUUAUUUGUUUUUCAAAAUUUCAGACGUCGAUAUUUUUAUUUAAUCCGUCGUUUGUUUAAAACUUAGACGGCGGAAUUUUUUUAAGACGUAAUAAAAUAUUUAAACGACGGUUUUUGCACCGUCGUUUAAAUGGUUUCAGACGACGCUUUAUUCAUAAAACCGUCGUCUUUAUUGAAUUACCACGACAGUUUUUUCACCGUCGUUUAAAUACUUUUAAGACGACGUUUUAUUACUUAAACCGUCGUCUUUAUUGAAUUACCACGUCAUUUUUUUUAUUUCUUUAAACAGGUUAUUGAAGUUGGUGCUUAUUCAAAAAUGGAGGCGCCAUCUUCUUUAAAAACCCUUUGUCGUUUUGUGGAAACGACACUCCUGCCUGAGGAUAAGACACUCCAAUUUACAAUUGAUAAGGAGGUGUUUGGUGGUGAGCGCGAUACCUUCCUCCUGCCUGAAGAUAUUACACAAUUUGCAGGCAUGGAAGAAAUUGGAGCUACUGUAUUGGCUGUAUAUAUGAGGUUUGUACUUCUAAAAUAAUACCUCGUUGGUUUAUAUAUUGCGUCGUCUUAACUAACUAACCACGUCGUCUUAACUAACUACCGUCGUGAUAAAUAUAUUAUAACGUCCUCAUCUAUUUCAGUACGUCGUGUGAAAUAUUAUAAUACGUCGUUUUUUUAUACAUAACCGUCGUGUUUGUUUGUGCUGACUUGUUUAUAUUAUUUUAUGUAUUUAGGUACUUACACGAUGUUUUGAAACAAGCCAAUAUGUGCAGCAUGGUUGGCUUUAUUGACCCUGCUACAGUUAGUGCCAACUCUGGCACAAUAACUGAAAGAUCACGACUGGUAGCAGCUCGACUUCAGAAGACAGACGGUGAACAGCUUUUCAUGAUGCCUUACAAUCCAGGGUUAGUCUCCUUAGGAUUUUGUUUUUAUGAUUUUCAAUAAAUGACAGCUUAUAAACUAACCACGUCGGUGUUUUAUUUUAUUUAGUCGUUUGAAACUACUAACCACGUCGGUAUUUAUUUGUCGUCGUGAUAAAUAUAUAAUGUUGUCGUUAUCUACUUUAUUUCGUCGUGUGAAAUACUAUAAUACGUCGUUUUUGUAAAUAACCGUCGUUUUUAUAUUAAUUUUGUGCAGCCGUCAUUGGAUCCUGCUGAUUGUAAGAGCAAAGAAGGAGACCGUCUAUUUUCUGGAUCCUCUGCCAGGUCAUCGUGUGGUCGACGAAGAGGCGAAAAACAUCGUGAACAGUGCUUUAAAAAUAUAUAAUACCCACAUAGGCCGAGCAGGACGUAAAAAUGUAAUUUGAAAAACUCUCUCAGGCACACCAAAGCAACCCAGCAAUGUCGAAUGCGGGUAUUAUGUGAUGCGCUUCAUGAGGGACAUCAUCAUGGAUCCUUCCUUGGGGUUUGAGAAUAAGGUAAGAAGAAAUUACCUUCAUACAUUUCACGUCGUUUUUUGUAUUAUCAACGACGGUCAUGUAAAAUUAACGUCGUUGAAUGGAUAUACUACGUCGGUUAUGAAAAAUAUCGUCGUCUGUGAUUGAAUUUCUUUUUAUUUAUAAACCCUAAUAGUCAUUGUUUAUGCAGUAUGCCAAGGGAAACCAGGAAGCUUCAUACCCCCAAGAAGCCAUUGAUGAAGUCCGGAAUGAAUGGGCAGAGUUUGUUUUCCAAAUUAUUAAACAGGGCAAUUAUUGAACACUUGAUAUUUAUGUAUAAUGUACCAAUUUUCUCUAUAAUAUGUAAUGUAAAAAUUUGUUGAGGUUUUCUUAAAUUAAAAAAAAAACAAACAUACAAAUUGCUUAACCGACGUGUAAUACUUUUCCAACGACCUAAUAAAGUCACAAACCGUCGUAUUUUGUUGUUUCGUGUUUUAAACAAUUACGACGUAAAAAAAUAGUUAGACGACGUUCUUUGAACAAUUGAGUCGUUAAUGGUUUACAAUAUCUUCAAUUUCUUAAGGGUUCAGGGUAUAAUCGACGACGUUUAUGUAACGACUGCGGUUAAGUCGUAAAAUAUAUAUUUUACGUCGUAUAGUUAAAUAGCCGCCAUGGUUUUUCAUUUUAACGACGUCAUUUUAACGACUUAGUAGUCUAUUACAAUUUACAACGUCUACAAUUUAUUAACACCGACGUGGUUUGUUGUUGUGGUAAGAAUAUUUUAUUAUUUUUAUAUCAAAAUAUUCAAAAUAAAUUUAAAAUAAAUCAGAAAAUUGAAAAGUCAACUCCUAUGAAGUCAUUGAUAUAUUUUCUUCCACAUAAACCUUGAAAAAAUUCAUUUUGAAUAACAAAAAUUUAAAAUGACCAUCCAAAACAAAAUUGUUUUGAUGACUCAUAAAAUCACUUCUAGUUUUAUGGUUUAGGGUUUAGAGUCUAGGGUUUAGAGAUUAGGGUUGUUAUUUAUUGGGGUUUAUUUUUAAAGUAUAAUUUUUGGGUAGUCUAGGGUAUAUGUUAGGCUUUAAAACCAUAAAACCUUUUAUAAACUUAAUUUUUUAAAUUGUAUAAUUUAAUUUUAUGGGUUUAGGGUAUUAAUUUUUAACGACGGUGGUUGGGUCGUGGAAUACAUAUUUUACGUCGUACAGUAAAACAUACGACAUGGUUUACGCUUUAAACGACGUCAUUUUAAUAUGUAAGUCGGUUUAUAUAAUUUACAACGUCAACGUCUUUAAUUUCUUAACACCGACGUGGUUUUUCAGUCGUCGUUAUAUAAAAAAUUCAAAAUAAAUUUAAAAUUAAUCCGAAAAAUGAACGGCCUUACGUUCUUAAUCCGAAAAAUGAAGUUUCCGUCGUGGAAUAUUAAAUUUACGUCGGUACUUGUAGAACUUUCGCCUUGGUUUUUCUUUCGACGUUUUAAAACGCGCGCGCUCUAAAAAUUUUCGCGCGACCUAAACUUUUUUAGAUUUGGCUCUUAUUCUUAUACUUCGAACCCUGAAACCUAAAANNNNNNNNNNNNNNNNNNNNNNNNNNNNNNNNNNNNNNNNNNNNNNNNNNNNNNNNNNNNNNNNNNNNNNNNNNNNNNNNNNNNNNNNNNNNNNNNNNNNNNNNNNNNNNNNNNNNNNNNNNNNNNNNNNNNNNNNNNNNNNNNNNNNNNNNNNNNNNNNNNNNNNNNNNNNNNNNNNNNNNNNNNNNNNNNNNNNNNNNNNNNNNNNNNNNNNNNNNNNNNNNNNNNNNNNNNNNNNNNNNNNNNNNNNNNNNNNNNNNNNNNNNNNNNNNNNNNNNNNNNNNNNNNNNNNNNNNNNNNNNNNNNNNNNNNNNNNNNNNNNNNNNNNNNNNNNNNNNNNNNNNNNNNNNNNNNNNNNNNNNNNNNNNNNNNNNNNNNNNNNNNNNNNNNNNNNNNNNNNNNNNNNNNNNNNNNNNNNNNNNNNNNNNNNNNNNNNNNNNNNNNNNNNNNNNNNNNNNNNNNNNNNNNNNNNNNNNNNNNNNNNNNNNNNNNNNNNNNNNNNNNNNNNNNNNNNNNNNNNNNNNNNNNNNNNNNNNNNNNNNNNNNNNNNNNNNNNNNNNNNNNNNNNNNNNNNNNNNNNNNNNNNNNNNNNNNNNNNNNNNCUGUUUUUGUUUAAAACCCGUCGUCUCAUGUUGUUUAUACCUUGCGAUUAGAUCAUGUAUAAUCUGCUAUAGUGAUGGUCAUGCCUGUAUUUUCACUUUUAUAUAGAUAAUAGGUUAUAGUGUCGGAGAUGGAUAAGUCAUGGAUGCACUCGGAUAGAAGAUCGAAGGCAUAUGAGUUUGGGGUGGAAGCAUUUUUGAACUUUGCUGUAGAAAAUCUUCUAACUACAACACAUAUCCGUUGUCCAUGUGUUAAAUGUGUUAAUUUGAAGUUGUUUGGGGUUGGAAUUAUAAGGGAUCACUUAUACUUUAAUGGAAUUGACCAAAGCUAUAAGAAUUGGACAUUUCACGGAGAACCUUGGGAAGCAACUACUAAUGCUAGCAGAAAUGUUGAAGAAGAUGAUGGCCAUAGUAGGUACAGUUUUGUGUCUGAAGAAAUUGAUAUGGAUGAUAAUGAUUUUGGUGAUUUUGGUUCGGAUCCGUAUGAGUUUGCCAAUGUGAUUGGGGAUGGAGAUCAACCAGUGUACCCUGGUUGUAGAAAGUACACGAAGUUAUCGGCAUUAGUGAAGUUGUAUAAUUUGAAGGCAAAACAUGGGAUGAGUGAUGUCUGUUUUACAGAAUUAUUGAUACUUCAAGGCGAUUUGCUUCCAGAAGGAAAUACAAUACCAACCUCCAUGUAUGAGGCUAAAAAGACUUUGUGUGCAUUGGGGCUGAGUUAUGAGAAAAUGCACGCAUGCCCCAAUGAUUGCAUCUUGUAUAGGAAGGAGUAUGAGGAUUCAACUAAUUGUCCUACUUGUGGUAUCUCAAGGUGGAAGGAAGGCAAAGAUGCAAUCUUGAAAGAGGGUGUGCCAGCGAAGGUGGUGUGGUAUUUUCCCCCAAUUCCAAGGUUUAAAAGGAUGUUUCAAUCACAUGAGACAGCUAAGAGUUUGACUUGGUGGCAUGUUGCUAGAAAAUCAAUUGACGGUCAGAUGUCUCAUCCGGCGGAUUCCCCGUCUUGGAAACUUCUUGAUGAUAAAUGGCCUGAGUUUGGUAAUGAGCCGAGAAACUUGAGAUUGGCUCUUUCAUCUGAUGGAUUCAAUCCCCACAGUUCUCUAAGUAGCAGAUAUAGUUGUUGGCCGGUUAUCUUAGUUACAUAUAAUCUCCCUCCAUGGCUGUGCAUGAAACGAAAGUUCAUGAUGUUAACCUUAUUGAUUUCCGAUCCUAAACAACCCGGAAAUGAUAUAGACGUCUACUUGGAGCCUUUGAUUGAUGAUUUAAAAUCCUUGUGGGUUGGGAUUAGAGGAGUGUAUGAUGCACAUAAUGGAGAAUACUUUACACUCAGAGCUGCAUUAAUGUGGACAAUUAAUGAUUUCCCCGCCUAUGGAAACUUAUCUGGUUGUGUUGUUAAAGGAUAUAAAGCUUGUCCAAUAUGCGGCGAUGAUACACCUAGUCAAACAAAUAUUUUUUGUUGACGACCCGAUGCAUCGUGGUUGGUCGUGUAGGCGUGUGAGUGUGUGUUUGUGUUUGUUUUUGUGUGUGUGUGUGUGUGUGUGUGUGGUGUGUGUGUGUGUGUGUGUACCAUUACUNNNNNNNNNNNNNNNNNNNNNNNNNNNNNNNNNNNNNNNNNNNNNNNNNNNNNNNNNNNNNNNNNNNNNNNNNNNNNNNNNNNNNNNNNNNNNNNNNNNNAUGUAAUUGGCAGUGUAUGACAUUAAUUUUGUAAUAUAUUGUAAUGUGAUUUCUUCACUUUCUACGUUCAAAUAAAACACGACGUUAUUGUGAAUCAGUUAUUCAGCAUAUUUACCGACGUCUUAAAGCAACGUAACAAUGAAGAACCACGACGCUAUUGUGAAGCAAUUAUUCAGGAUAUCACGUCGGUGAAGGAUAAAGAACCGCCAUGUAAUUCAAAAUAACACGACUCCAAUCCCAUAAUACCGACGUCUAAAAAACGAGAUAUGUAAUCUGAACGUUAAAAAAUACGACGUCAUCAUACAUUUUCCACGUCGCAAGUUCUUUUAUAAACGAAGAGGAACGAAAUUAAUUCCGACGGAAAUUCAUUAUAACCGCCGUCUAAUAACAAUUAAACGACGUUAUUUGUAAUACGGCUCCCAUCAUAAUCUACGCCGUCUAUAUGUUCUGUAAUACGGCUCUCAUUUAUUUGGAACCGACGUUGUUUAGACGUUCAACGUCGUCUAUAUUAUUAAGUGCGUCGUGAGUAAUGAAUACAUAUAAAUACAACGUCGACUAUAUAAAUGUAUACGUCGUAAAUAAUGACACUGACAACUAUUUCCACGUCAUCUUUUUUAGAUAAAAUCGAAGUGGAAAAUUUAUUUCACGACGGUUUUUUGUAAAUAAGAGACGUUGUAGAACUUUAGCAGACUAAACACGUCUGUUUUUAUUGUUUUCCGACGUUGUUGUAUUUAACAACGUCUAAUAUUUAUGGUCGUUGUUUGUUUCUGAAAAUAGGACGUAUAAAUUUUUUAAUACGACUCUCAUAUAUUUGUAACUGACGUUGUUUAGUUUUUCAACGUCUACUAUAGAAACACAUACGUCGUAAAUAAUGACACUGACAACUAUUUCCACGUCAUCUUUUAUCAAAAAAUCGAAGUGGAAAAUUAAUUGUACGACGGUUGUGUUUAUAUGUGCGACGUAGUAGGUAUCAAUAACAUCGUCUUCUAAUGUAUUUAAAGACGUCAUAUUUUUUAUUGUCGUGAAAAUUAUAUUUAACGUCGGCGUAUUUUUAUUGUCGUCGUUGUAUGUCUAUCUUGCGGCCUUGUUCUCUUAAUAUGUGUCAUAUUUUCCCUUUUUAACGACGGUCUUUUUAGAGAAUUGGUCGUCUAUUAUCAUCAUCGAUUGCUUUUUUUAGAUCUUUUUGCAGUACAAAGACGUCGUUUUGUAUUUUUUGAUGACGUUGUAUUGUUUAACAACGACGGUUAUUUAGCGUCGUGGUUUAUGAGGGAAAAGAUGACGGUGGAUUCCACGACCAUUGAAAAACCAAAUACACGACGGUGAUUUACCGUCGUCUUUUUGCUUUUUUGUAGUAGUGAUCGGAAACUUGACUAAUUAGAAUACAACAUAUGUCGAAAUAUUUUUAUCAUAAAUGGUCUCUAAGGUUCGUGAAAUUAUUAGCUUUAGUCCUUCAUGUUUUUUUGUGACAUCAUUGGUCCUUUAUGUUACUCCUCUUCACACAUCAAUUUGGUUCUGCCGUUUGGAUUCGUCAAAAUUUAUGUUAAAUUGAUGGCAUGACAUGUAUAUGGUGCCUACAUAUCCAAUGAGAUAAUGACCCGUGGAUCUAAGUAAAAAAUUUGUUUUAAAAAAAUAGUUUCAUAUUUAAAAUUUUUAAAGGGCGAAGACUCAUUGGGUAACUCGAAGUUUGGGUUGUUGAAGCCUUCAAGCAUGGUUUUGCUCACAAAAGAUUGGAACGCAAUGUGUUGGGUUGAGCACUGAAAACCAAAGAAUAUCAAAAAUGUAGUAGGGGGGAGAGAGAGAGAGAGANNNNNNNNNNNNNNNNNNNNNNNNNNNNNNNNNNNNNNNNNNNNNNNNNNNNNNNNNNNNNNNNNNNNNNNNNNNNNNNNNNNNNNNNNNNNNNNNNNNNACCUCAUGUCAGCACUUAAUAGAAAAUUUGACGGACCCUAACGGCAUGGAUCAAAUUGAUGUGUGGUGUGUAACAAAAAGGAUCAAUAAUGUCACAAAAAACAUAAAGGACCAAAGUUGAUAAUUUUGCGAACCUUAUACACCAUUUAUGAUAAAAACCCUAUAUUGUAUAAUUUUAGUGUGUUUUUUUCUUAAAUGCUAUUGAGAAGAGAUUUUAUAAAACUGCUAUAUAAAAGGUUCACCACAAUGCUAUAAAACAAUAGUAGAUUAUGGCUCUCAGAUGUUUUCAUCUUCUUAUUCAUCCAAGCAGAUCGAUAACAUAUGGUCACUACUGACUUUUUCUUGUAGUUCUCAACAUCCAUCUUUCAAGCCAUCAACCAAGUUGUUGCAUUGCUCCUCACUGUUAGAAAAGCCUCGUUUCCCUCCUCCUCCUCCAUUGAUUGAAGGAGAGACAACAAAAGCAACUUAUGAAACAAGCCCCUCAUUUCCUUGUUAAACAUAAAUCGACCCAUUAUUGAUGAGGACUGAGAAUCUAAGAGCACACUAGUAAUUAACCUGAGUGGGGAAUAUGGAUGAUGGAUCUCUCUCUCUCUCUCUCUCUCUUGAAAAAAUCAACUUCAUUAUCCUUGGUGAAUUUGUUCUGAAUUAGUCGUGUCCAGCUACAAGCAAUACUGUACGUAGUAUAUUAUUCUCUGCAUUUGUGCAUGCCAACAACAAACAAAUAUUAUUCUCUAUUAUAGCAUAUAGGCCGUCAUUUUCAAUCCUUAUAAGAGAAAACUUGCUUCGCCAUAAGAGUACGUAGCUUGGCAAGCAAGGUAAGGGUACUUCAAAAGAUUCCUUCCAUCAUCUAUAUAAGACACAUGUGACAUUGCAUGUCUCAUCAAUCAUGUUAAGAUAAAGCUAGCUGGCAAGGCAAAUUACCAACCUUUAUGCUCGAGUAUAUUAUUCCAAGCAGAUAUAAAUGUUAAUAUAUGUGAAGAAUAUUAUGAUCAAUAUAGAAUAUGUAUCAUGAUCAGUUAUGGUAUCGACUGUCAGAAAAUAUCAUCCGCAUAUGUGCAUACCAACAUUAUCGAAAGACAGUAGGAGUAUCGUCAUAUCCGAUACAAGUAUCGGAGCAUGGGUAAGAGUAUAUAUACAAGCAUACCCGUCCAAUUAGGAGAAUCAGUGCAACAUAGAUGAAAAGAAAUUAGAUGUGAUUUCACAUAUUUUUAAAGAAUAGGGGAAAUAAACCAAUUAAUCUCUUUUGUCUUCUCCAUACAUUUUUGGUUGUGAAUUUUGGUUUUCGAAGAAUUUGGCAUUUCAAGCAACUUGGAAAACAUUUUGAUGAUCCAUUGAACCUUGUUAAAGUCGAUAUUCAAUCUCUAUGGACUUUGGCCGAAAUGUCUCAUUUCAAUUGGAAAGUGACAUUGAGAUUUGAAAAGACUAGACAUUAAGGUGGCAAGAGAAGUCUAAAAGGAUCAAACAGAAAAAAAUAAUGAAAAAUUGAAAAUAACCUAGAAAGGGGAGAAAAAAUUAGUUGCAAUAGGGAUAAUAAUGUUUGAGUAAUGCUAAACGAACUCUAAAAUUAACUUAGUACACCCUACUAUCAAACUAUUUAUUGAAUUACUAAUUUACCCUAAUAUAAAAUGACCAAAAAGGAUAUAUUGAAUUGUGCAGCAAAUGUAAUUUUAAUAAGUACACAUUACUCACCAUAUUCAACCCUAAUAUUCGAUGGAGGCGACAUUGAAUGCUAUGAAUCCAACCCAAACCCACCACCACCGUCCCUCUCUCUCUCUCUCUCUCUCUCUCUCUCUCUCUCUCUCUCUCUCUCACAAAUUAUCUUAUUUGCUCUAAAUUUUUUGCAAUGAGUCAGAAUCUUCUAUGUGUAUGUGGCAUUCGUUCAUUAGACUUGGUUAAUGCAUUCAACCCACCCAAAACAAUAAUCAUUUGAUGUUCAUCCUCGAUGUUGGUGGUUUCAAGUGAGCAUGUUCCCAAACGGCUCUUACACUUGCCCACUAGAACUCCAGCUCCUCACCCUCUGAUGAAUCUAAUGACAAUUAUGUUGUUGUUUGCACCAUAAACACCAACUUCCAACAACUCCAAUACAACCUAUUUCUUCUUAAUUAGAUACCUUGGGGGUUGAUAGCAACCUCAAUAGUCUAAGAAACAAACCCACUUCGGAAUUUUCCUUCUUCCACUAGUUGAAGGGAGAUGGGUUCCAACACGAUAUUACGCGCUUAUUAGAAUCUUAUACUCGUCGAGUCUGGGUUGGCUGGUGAUAAGCAGGGGAAGGGUGGAGUUGGGUUGUGUUAGAGAGAGAGAGAGAGAGAGAGAGAGAGAGAGAGAGAGAGAGAAAGAGAAAGAGAGAGAGAAGGGCGGUAGUGGUUGGGUUGGGUUGGAUGCGAAAGGGCUUAAAUCAGAGGAGGAAGGACGGGUUUGGCUGGGUGGGUGACAGGACCCGACCCAAUUUCCGCUUUGGAAUCCGAGCUGAAUCCUGUGCGUGUCCGACACCUGGCGAAUGUCGGGCACGAAUGACCUUUUUACCCUUCUCUUUUCAAAUUCUUUUUUUUUUUAAACUUCCCUUAGACUUCUACCGAAAAUUCGACAGAGUCUCCCCUGUAUUUUGACCAAACCCAAAGUCUUCCACCUGUCAAACAGUCUCAAAUAACACACCAACUACCAGACUAACUCAACCAACAGAUCUCAACUCCAGUUUCUCAUGUUCAACAAGAUAUCAAAGCAUUUCUAUACAAAUUUACAGAACUAUGAGAAAGUUACAACGAGAUCCUACACUUUGGGGGUGGGGCGAAAGCUGGGAAGAUGGCCCGAGUGGUUUCCUUCGUACUUCUAUGGCCUGGGGGCGAAAAACAAGGUUAAAAUUGUGAGUGGACAAAAAUAAAAUUCUUUAAAACAAAAACAAGUUAGAACAUAAUAACCCCCGUUUUGAAAUACUAGGGAUAUAAAUCGUUAAUUUAGCUAUAUUUCAAUAUAAGGAAUUCAAUAAACAUGAAUAAAUAUACUGACGAAUAAACUUGCAUAACUGAUCAAAUAUAUAUAAAGAUAAUAACGCAUGAAUAUCAAGAAACUGGUAUAAAAUCACGGGAAAUCAUAACUGGAUAAAAGAGCUCAAAAUCCUUUGAAACUACCACCUAGAUGUACCCCUGUCAUAUCCGUCAAUUCCCCUGGCAGGUCUCGGGCGUCACGCAGUCUACCCGAGCCGCAAACUGGCGAAAUCAAGGGACUAUGAUCAGCCUGAUCCGCCGGCAGGUCUCGAUGACACCAAGUCGACUCGAGCCGCUCUGGCAGGAUGCAGGGGACCGCAGUCAGCCUGAUCCGCAAUCCUGGCAGGUCUCGGGGACACAGAGUCAGCCGAGCCGCAAAUCCUGGCAGGUCUCGGGACACCAAGUCUGCCGAGCCGCAAAUUCUGGCACUCACGGUCCGAGCGUCCCCGAAACUCGUGAGGCAAAGUCAAGUGCACUGACGUAACUGAAAUCAGACUGGAUGUUCGUAGACAUCGGUCCGACUGUGGGUAAUCACCAUAAAUAGAUGGGUACAUGGUGGUUUAACAAGAAAUUCUGAUAACUCUCUGAAAUCUGAUAAGUCUGAACUAAAUUACUAUCUUUGUAUCAAAAGUCUCAAGUUUACUGCUCAACCAAUAUUAUAAAAAUAAAGAUAUUUCACAAUGCAAAUCAUGCUUCGAAAUUACGUAAUAACACUUAUUCAAGAUCAAAUAGAAAAUAUAAUUAUAAAAUCUUUUAGGAAAGAAAAGUCCACUCACUGUUGGUCCGAGCUAUCUGGACCCUUCGAAGAUCCCUCAUGUGGGUCAACUGGACCUCUGGUGCCUUACUCGAUUGAUUUGGUGGAGAAUUGAAGGAGAACGAAGGAGAUGAAGUUUGGAUGAAAAACAGGCGGAAAUCGCCAGUUUCCGGCCAAUUCCCGGCGGUCCAAGGCCGGCGACGGGUCGAGGAAGGGAGGCGGCGGCGAGGCGGACCGAUUGACACCAACGGCGGAGGUCGCCGUGCCCUGUAGCGACGGCACGCUCGAUCUGAAACAGGGAGGGGGGCGGCGGUUGCGACGGGAGAGAGAGAGAGAGAGGAGAGAGAAAUGAGGAGAGAGAAGAGAGAAGGAAGAGAUAAAAUCUGACUUUUUUUUCAAAUUACCGUUUUGCCCUUCGAGGUAAUUUAAUCGUAUCUUCUUCAUUACAAUUCCAAUUCGGGUCUACUCCGUGUCUACGGACUCGUUUCGCCGUGCUCUACGCAACGGCGCAAGCGAAAUUCUCAAAUUCUUUCUUGAUCAAAAAGUCAAAUUUUCCCCUAUUAAAAUAUGCGAGGGCAAAAUCGUCUUUUGGGUAGAAUAAAGAAAUCCUAAUUUUUAGAUAUUUUAGUUUGGGUUAUUACAGUGGGGGGUGGAGAGAUGAUGGGAGGUCGAUUUAACAGGGUUAAGUGUUGUUAAGUGGUUUACCACAUGUCAAAAAAAUAGAAGGAAAACAUGUCGGGCACAUGGCAUUUGGUAACAGUAAAAUUGGACUCAUGAAUGAGUUAGGUGUUGUGUGAUAGAGUGUAUUAGGGUGUACCAUGGGUAUUUUUAGUAGUUAAAUAGGAUGUACUGAGUUAAUUUUAUAAUUUGAUUUAAAUAUUAGGGUAUACUUAGAUCAUAGGGUGUACUCAGUUAAUUUUAAGGUUUGUUUAGCAACAUUCUAAUGUUUUGUUAUCCCCGGUCAAUAAUUUUAUAUCGUGUGGCUUAGAAGGAGGCCUGUUAUCCAACUCAUCUGGUCCACCGUCCAUGAUAUGAACCCGACUUGAGAAUCUUUUGGUGAAGUAGAACAACCCAACUUGAGAGUUGAGGCAGCCAAACUAGAAGGGAAGCAUCCCCACUCCAGUCCCGCUCCCCAUGUGCCCAAUACUUUGCUUGUUUACUUCACCUUUUAAACCUUUUAGGAUUUUCCAUAGGCUAAGAGGAAAACAACAACAUUACGGCCCAGUUUACGAAUGGAUUCGAGGGGAAAUUACUUCCCAUGCCAUUUUUUAAGGGAUGGAAAAUGGAGAUUCAUUUCCCAUAUUUGAUAAUCCUAGGAAAGUAACUAAGAAAUACUACUUUAUUUCCUUUCACAUAUUUGGUUUGUGUAGGAAUGUAAAACAAAGUUAGUUUAAUUUUUCAAUUAUAUCCAUAUGAAAUUAAAUUUUAAAAAAAAUGUAUUUAAUGCUAUAUUGUUAAUGGGGACAAUAUGGUCAUGAAAAAUGUGUAUUUAAUGUUGGCUAAUUUUCUCAAACUUUCUCAUGUGCAAGACAACGAUUUCUCAUGCCUAGACUUACCAAAUAUGGGAAAGCAAUUGAUUUCUCAUCACCAAGCCUCCUUUCCCAUGAACCAAACAGGACCUACAAGUUAUUAGCUUCAAGCCUUCAAGGAUUUUCAUAACAAAUCUUCCAAUCUCACACAAAAAUAAAAAAGCAUCCAUGUAUGUAAUUUCUAGAUUAAAAUCUCACUUUUUAGGCAUUCCAUUUUCUUAGGAUUAGGUAUUACUACGCACGGACAAUCUUACGAUUAUCUGCAAUUCAUCCUUCAAUAGCUAUGGACGUUAUAUCAAAUCAACAAUAAGACGUACAUUUCUUCAAAGAACUAAAUCAUGCGGAUGUCAACUUGCUCUCACUUAUAUGUUUGUCUCUCCAUAUGAGGAAGGGUGUUUAGCUUAAGGUUUUAGGGCGCGGUUGUCUAAGAACAAUAAGGUGAACAUGUUUUGUCAAAGUACAUGGGAGACCUUUAUCUUCAAACACAAAAAAUGGCCAAAAUUAAAUUAGCAAGGAUCGACAUAUGGAUGUGAGCUUUUACACAUUGCCACUAAUUCUCUCCAUACUUUUGUUGAAAUCAUUUACAAAAUAAGAAAACUUUAGUAAUUGAAGCGAAAGAGAAGAAUUACCAGAACAGAAAAUAAGAAAAAAGAAGCACCUAACCCAAACUUUAAGUCACGAAUUUAACAGUUUACUUUUUAAAAAAAGUAAGUUACAAAACAAUCCCCUUAUUGAUGAGGAUUGAGAAUUUAAGAGCACUAAUAACUUGAGUGAGGAAUAUUGCACAUGGACGAUGGAUCUCUCUCUCUCUCUUUGAAAAAAAAGAAAAAAGAAACAAAAAUCAACUUCAUUAUCCUUAGUGAAUUUGUUCUGGAUUAGUUGUGUUGCAAUGGAACAUCGAACCUACCUAGCUAAAAGGAAAAAAGAAAGGCCACUACGACAGUACUGCAGUAUAUUAUUCCAAGAAGACAAAUGUAAACUAUAUACGUGAAGAAUAUCUAUUAUUGGUCGUCAUUUUCAAUCCUCAUAAAAGAAAACUUACUUCGCCAUAAUUUCAGGUUGUUCUCAAGGCAGGAAGGUAAGGACACUUGAAAAGAUUCCUUCUCAUCAUCUAUACAAGGAAAUGUGUUCUCAUCAAGCUAGGGGACAAGGCAAAUUAGCAACCUUUAUACUCGAUAUAUUAUUCCAAGCAGAUAUACAUGUGAAGAAUAUUAUGAUCUUGAUCAAUAUGGAAUCAGUGGGUGUAUCGAUCGACCAUCCAAAGAAAAAGGAUAUCCUCUGCAUAUAUGUGUGCAUGCCAACAACUAUAAAAGGAGACCAUGAGGCAAUGAGUUGAUCAUCAAAGCAAACACACAGAUAUCCCAACUAAAAAUCAUUCAGUGAGACAAUGGCUGGAACCAAUGAUAUUAAAAUUAAAGGGUUCGAUUUGAGCAAAAACAGCGGCAACACGUCCGGAUUAACCCACUUCGCCAACAGAGCUGACGAGGGCGACAAGGGCGACAAUAAAAUCGAGGUUGAGGAUGCUAAAGCGCAAGAUAACAAGGGAAACUUGAAAGUACUGACCGACUUCGCCCAACGUGGUAAGGUGGGCCAGUCGGAUCGCCAAGAAAUCACGGGGAGCAAGCCACUUCAGACGGCAGCAUGAAAUUGAUGAAGGCCAUACCAUAAUAAAAUAUCUACACUAAAAUAAGAGCUGAUGCAGUAUCUGAGGCUCCUUCCUUGGUUAGGCCUCAUUAUCAUGUGCAAUACUAAUAUUAUUAUUCUAAUAAAAUAAUGGUAGCUUAUUAUUAAAUAUAUCAAAAUUCUAUACGUAUAACUUUUAGAUUAUUGAUACUGAUGACAUACCAACAAGAGAAAACGAUUCAAAAGUCCUUUCUCCAAUUCGUGAUGUUACAAAAUGAGACGUCAAAUUUAAAAAUAUAGUUGCAUACGAGUAUAAACUGAACCAAUAAGCAAUGUAUGAGUGACCAAAGGUCUCAAACGAUGCAUUUAAGAAGAAGGGUACUAAAUUAAAAGAUGUACGCCAGUGAACUAUGGCAAUCUCUCGUUGCAUGCACGCAUAUGCAAUUGAAGAAGACCUAACUUAUAUCACGAAGAAGUGGAUGGGUCUUUACAUAUGAAGUUUUUAAAAUUAACACUACCGGAAGACAAUAGGAGUAUCGGCGUAUCUGAUACAAGUAUCGGAGUCUCGGAGUAUUAGAUUUGAGCAUACCUGUCCAAAUAGGAGUAUCGGUGCAACAUAGAUGAAAAGGAAUUGGAUGUGAUUUCACAUAUUUUUAAAGAACAGGGGAAAUAAACCAAUUAAUCUCUUUCGUCUUGUCCACACAUUUCUUGUUGCAAAUUUUGGUUUUCAAAAAAUUUGGCAUUUCAAGCAACUUGGAAAACAUUUUGAUGAUCCAUUAUUGAACCUCUAAAGUCGAUAUUCAAUCCCUAUCGACCUUGCUCAAAAAAUGUCUCAUUUCAAUUAGUGCAGAGAAAAAUAAAGGCAGAGUUGAAAAUAGAUUUUUCAGUUUGGAAAGUGACAUUGAGAUGUAAAAAGACUAGACAUUAAGGUGGCAAGAGAGAUCUAACAGGAUCAGACAAAAAAGGAAAAAAAAAUGAAUGAAAAAUAGAAAAUGCCCUAGAAAGGGGAGAACAACUUAGUUGCAAUGGGGAUAACAAUAUCUUGCUAUUACUGGUCAAUAAUUUUAUACCACGUGGCCUAGAAGGAGGCCUGUUAGUCCAACUCAUCUGGUCCACUUCCCAUUAUAUGAACCCGACUUGAGAGUUUUGGUUUUUUGGUUGAAGUAGAACAACCCGACUUGAGAAUUGAGGCAGCCAAACUAGAAGGGAAGCAGCCCACUCCACUCCCGCUCCCCAUGUGCCCAGUACUUCGCUUGUUUACUUCACCUUUUAAACCUUUUAGGAUUUUUUUUAUAGGAUAAGAGGAAAACGACGACAUUACAAGUUAUUACGCAUCAACGUAUGUAAUUUCUAGAUUAAAAUCUCACUUUUUACGCAUGUCAUUAUCUUAGGAUUAUGUAUUACUACGCACUGACAAUCUUACGAUUAUCUGCAAUUCAUCCUUCAAUGACCAAAGACGUUAUAUCAAAUCAACAAUAAGACAUACAUUUCUCCAAAUAACUAAAUUAUGUGGAUUUCAACUUGCUCUCAUUUAUAUGUUUGUCUCUCUCCUCCUAUUGAUUAGCCUCUCCAUAAGAGCAAAUAUGAAAAAAGAAGCUCCCAAUCCGAACUUUAAGUCACAAGUUUAACAGUUUACUUUUAAACAAAAGCAAGUUACGAAACAAUCCCCUGAUUUCCUUGUUAAACAUCAACCGACCCAUUAUUGAUGAGGAUUGAGAAUCUAAGAGCAUAUGGACGAUGGAUCUCUCUCUCUUUUUGAAAACAAAAACAAAAACAAAAAACAAAAAUCAACUUCAUUAUCCUUGGUGAAUUUGUUCUGGAUUAGUUGUUUUGAAUUAGUACAGCUUACGUACGCAAUGGAACAUCGAACUUAGCUAGCUAAAAGGAAAAAAGAAAGGCCACUACUACAGUACCGCAGUAUAUUAUUCCAAGAAGACAAAUGUAAACUAUAUACGUGAAGAAUCUCUAGUAUUGGUCGUCAUUUUCAAUCCUUAUAAAAGAAAGCUUGCUUCGCCAUAAUUUCAGGUUGUUCUCAAGGCAGGCAGAGAGAGUACGUAGCUUGGCAAGAAAGGUAAGGGCACUUCAAAAGAUUGUUUCUCAUCAUCUAUAUGAGGAAAUGUGUUGCCAUCAAGCUAGCGGACAAGGCAAAUUAGCAACCUUUAUACUCGAUAUAUUAUUCCAAGCAGAUAUACAUGUAAAUAUAUGUGAAGAAUAUUAUGAUCAUGAUCAAUAUAGAAUCUGUAUCAUGAUCAGAGGGUAUCGAUCCAGCAUCCAAAGAAAAAGGAUAUACUCUGCAUAUGUGCAUGCCAACAACUAUAAAAGGAGACCAUGAGGCAAUGAGUCGAUCAUCAACGGAAACACACAGAUAUCCCAACUAAAAAUCCAUCGUGAGACAAUGGCUGGAACCAAUGAUAUUAAAAUUAAGGGGUUUGAUUUGAGCAACAACAAAGGCAACACGUCGGGAUUAACCCACUUCGCCAACAGAGCUGACGGGGGCGACAAUGGCAACAAUAAAAUCGAGGUUGAGGAUGCUAAAGGGCAAGGGAACACGGGAAACUUGAAAGUACUGACCGACUUCGCCCAACGCGGUAAAGUGGGCCAGUCGGAUCGCCAAGAACUACUCAAACCUCAGGCAUGAAAUUGAAGAAGGCCAGACCACAACAACUUGUCUGCUUGAUAGAUAUAUGUGCUAAAUUAUCUACACAAAAAUAAGAGCUGAUGUUUUAUCUGAGGCUCCUUCCUUGGUUAGGCCUCGUUAUCAUGUGUAAUAUUAAUAUUAUUAUUCUAAUAAAAUAAUGGUAGCUUAUUAUUAAAUAUAUCAAAAUUCUAUACGUAUAACUUUUAGAUUAUUGAUACUGAUGUCAACAAGAGAAAAUGAUUAAAAAGUCCUUUCUCCAAUUCGUGAUGUUACAAAAUGAGACUUCAAAUUUUAAAACUAUAGUUGCAUACGAGUACAAAACUGAACCAAACAAUGUAUGGGCCAGAGUGACCAAGGAUGUACGCCAGUGAACUAAUGGCAAUCUCUCGUUGCAUGCACGCAUAUGCAAUUGAAGGAGGCAUUAUCUGAGGCUCCUUCCUUGGCUAGGCCUCAUUUUCAAUUUUGAUUUCAACUUUGAUUUUGCUUAAACUUUGAUUUUGAGCUAGACUGUGAUUUCGACUUUGAUCUCCCAAUUCGUGCCUUAAGAAUCAGUUUCUCCCAACUCUAUUUACCAAAACCGAAAACUCUGAACUUUUCAAUUCGUCUGGCUACUCUCAGGGUUUCAUGCCUUAGUUUCCUCUCGCCAAAAAGCCAAAAAGACUUGGCUUUCAUGUAAUGCUAUACUCCUCGAUUGAACAAGCCGCGUCUUCAAAUUCAGCUUUCUCACUUCCUUUCUCUUUACUUUCUUUCUUUUGUUUUCCGGCUGGGAAAAUCAUGGAAGCAUUACAAAUUUAAGAGAAUAUUCUAGUAUUAGGGUCCAAACUGUACUAUUUAGGUAUUUUCAUUCUGAUUAAGAGUUCUUUUCUAGAAAUUUGGGGAAGAAAAAAUAGAGUUUCUGUUUUAGUGUUUGAUUUUCAUUACAGUGAAUUAUGUGAAACCGAAAUGUUUCUUGUCUGAUUUCAUCACUGCUUUCAAAUUGCAAAUUAAGGAUUUGAAGGUUAACAAUGCCCGUCUUUAACAAUGUCGCAUUUCAAUUAGUACAAAAGAAAAAUAAAGGCAUAGUUGAAAAUAGAUUUUUCAGUUUCGAAAGUGACAUUGAGAUUUAAAAAGACUAGACAUUAAGAUGGCAAGAGAGAUCUAAAAGGAUCAAACAAAAAAAGUGAAUGAAAAAUUGAAAAUGCCCUAGAAAGGGAGGAAAUCUUAGUUGCAAUGGGGAUAACAAUGUUUUGCUAUCCUCGAACAAUAAUUUUACACCACGUGACCUAGAAGGAGGCAUGUUAAUCUAACUCAUCUGGUCCACCGUCCAUGAUAUGAACCCGACUUGUGAGUUUUUUUUUUUUUUUGUUGAAGUAGAACAACCAAACUUGAGAGUUGAUGUCACAUCUCAGGAUCGGCUUCACCGUAGCACGAUAUUGUCUGCUUUGGGCCCCCUCGCUGUCCUCGCGGUUUUGUUUCUAGGAGCUCACGAGCAACUUCUCAGUUGGUCACUCAUCUUAGGAUUGCUCUGGCCCAAACUCACUUAACUUCGGAGUUCUCAUGACUCCGAAGCUAGUGAGCUCCUAAAAGGCCUCGUACUAAAUGGAAGUGGGCAUAUAUAUAUAAGGCACAACACCCCAUCUUCGUUGGUUGAUGUGGAAUGUUACAAUCCACCCCCCUUAGAGGUCUGACUUCCUCGUCGGCACACUCUCACCACACGGCAGAGUGGCUCUGAUACCAAACUGUCACAUCCCGGGAACGGCUCCGUCGUAGCACGAUAUUGUCCGCAUUGGGCCAACCUUUCUGCCCUCACGGUUUUGUUACUGGGAGCUCACGAGCAACUUCCCAGUGAAUCACUCAUCCUGGGAUUGCUCUAGCCCAAACUCGCUUCACUUCGGAGUUCCUAUGACUCCGAAGCCAAUUAGCUCCCAAAAGACCUCGUGCUAGAUAAAGGUGGGCACGUACAUAUAAGGCACAUCACCUUCUCUUCGUUGAUCGAUGUGGGAUGUUACAGUUGAGGGCUCCGUUGGUCGAUGUAGGAUGUUACAGUUGAGGCAGCCAAACUAGAAGGGAAGCAACCCAACUCCACUCCCUCUCCCCAUGUGCCCAGUUCUCUGCUCGUUUACUUCACCUUUUAAACAUUUUAGGAUUUUCCAUAAGCAAAGAGGAGAACGACCACAUUACGGUCUCGUUUGGUUCACGAACAGAUUUAAGGGGAAAUAACUUCUCAUGUCAUUUCUCAAGGGAUGAGAAAUGGAGAUUCAUUUCCCAUAUUUGGUAAUCCUAGGAAAAUAACAAAGAAAUACCACUUUAUUUCCUUUCACAUGUUUGGUUUGUCUAGGAAUGUAAAACAAAGUUUGUUUAAUUUUCCAAUUAUACCGAUAUGAAAUCAAAUAAAAAAAGAAUAUUUAAUGUUAUAUUGUAAUUCUAAACUGUUAAUAGGGACAAUAUGAUCAUGAAAAAUGUGUAUUUAAUGUUGGCUCAUUUGCUUAUUUUCCCAAACUUUCACAUGAGGAGGAAAACAAAACCCAAGGGGGGAGGAUGGCUUCACUUUCCCCUCUACUUUCCCAUGUACAAGGCAACGAUUUCUCAAGUCUGGACUUACCAUACAUGGGAAAGAAAUUAAUUUCUCAUCCCCAAGUCAUUUUUCCCAUAAACCAAACGGAGCCUACAGGUUAUAAGCUUCAACCUUUAAGGAUUUUCAUAACAAAUCUUGCAAUCUCAUACCAAGGAAAUAAAAAUAAAAAAAAGGAUCCAUGCGUGUAAUUUCUAGAUUAAAAUCUCACUUUUUACGCAUGCCAUUAUCUAAGGAUUAGGUAUGACUACACACGAACAAUCUUACAAUUAUCUGCAAUUCGUCCUUCAAUGGCCAAAGACGUUAUAUCAAAUGAACAAUAAGACGUACAUUUCUUCAAAGAACUAAAUUAUGUGGAUUUCAACUUGCUCUCACUUAUAUGUUUCUCUCUCUCCUCCUAUUGUUUAGCUUAAGGUUUUAGGGCGUGGUUGUCUAAGAACAAUAAGGUAAACAUGCUUACAAAAAAAGAUGGACAGCAAGGAUGGACAUAUGCGAAUGUGAGCUUUUACACAUUGCCACUAAUUUUCUCCAUGAUUUUGUUGAAAUCAUUAACAAAAUAAGAAACUUUAGUAAUUGAAGCGAAAGAGACUAAUUAUCAGAAGAGAAAAUAUGAAAAAAGAAGCUCCCAAUCCAAACUUUAAGUCACAAGUUUAACAGUUUACUUUAAAACAAAAGCAAGUUACGAAACAAUCCCCUGAUUUCCUUGUUAAACAUCAACCGACCCAUUAUUGAUGAGGAUUGAGAAUCUAAGAGCAUAUGGACGAUGGAUCUCUCUCUCUUUUUGAAAACAAAAACAAAAACAAAAAUCAACUUCAUUAUCCUUAGUGAAUUUGUUCGGGAUUAGUUGUGUUGAAUUAGUACAGCUUACUUACGCAAUCGAAUAUCAAACCUAGCUAGCUAAAAAGAGAAAAAGAAAGGCCACAACGACAGUACUGUAGUAUACGUGAAGAAUCUUAUGAUCUAUAAUAUUCUGUAUUAUUGGCCAUCAUUUUCAAUCCUUAUUAAAGAAAACUUGCUUCGCCAUAAUUUCAAGUUGUUCUGAAGGCAGGCAUAGAGAGCACGUAGCUUGGCAAGGGAGGUAAGGGCACUUCGAAAGAUUCCUUCUCAUCAUCUAUACAAGGAAAUGUGUUCUCAUCAAGCUACGGGACAAGGCAAAUUAGCAACCUUUAUACUCAGAUAUAUUAUUCCAAGCAGAUAAACAUGUAAAUAUAUGUGAAGAAUAUUAUGAUAAUGAUCAAUAUAGAAUCUGUAACAUUAUCAGAGGGGUAUCGAUCGACCAUCCAAAGAAAAGGAUAUCCUCUGCAUAUGUGCAUGCCAACAACUAUAAAAGGAGACCAUGAGGCAAUGAAUCAUCAAAGCAAAGACACAGAUAUCCCAACUAAAAAUCAAUCAGUGAGACAAUGGCUGGAACUGGAACCAAUGAUAUUAAAAUUAAAGGGUUCGAUUUGAGCAACAACAGCGGCAACACGUCGGGAUUAACCCACUUCGCCAACAGAGCUGAUGGGGGCGACAAGGGCGACAAUAAAAUCGAGGUUGAGGGUGCUAAAGCGCAAGAUAACAAGGGAAACUUGAAAGUACUUACCGAUUUCGCCCAACGCGGUGAAGUGGGCAGGUCGGAUCGCCAAGAACUUCUCAAGCCUCAGGCAUGAAAUUGAAGAAGGCCAUACCAUAUAUGUGCUGAAUUAUCUACACAAAAAUAAGAGCUGAUGUUUUAUCUGAGGCUCCUUCCUUGGUUAGGCCUCGUUAUCAUGUGUAAUAUUAAUAUUAUUAUUCUAAUAAAAUAAUGGCAGCUUAUUAUUAAAUAUAUCAAAAUUCUAUACGUAUAACUUUUAGAUUCUUGAGUGGGAAACCCUAGCUGCAUUCUGGUCCCUUUUCUUCUUGCCGACAACCAACCACAAGGAAACUAAAGGGGGAGGUGGCCACUGCCCCUCCCCCCCUUCGCCCAUCUUCCCUUUCUCUCCUCAUCUUCCCUUCUUUUUCUCCCAUCUUUUCCCUUCCUCUUAUGCCCUCUUCUCUUCCCAUUCCCUUUCCCAUAUAGUCUAGAUCUAUUUGGAUCUAGGUUUUGUUUGUUUGUUUGUUUGGUUUGGUUUGGUUGUUUUUGCAGUAUUCUAGGUGACUGGUAGUGACGUUGGAUUGUGUCUAUUAUCGGGAGAGUUGUGAUACCUAGUGGCUGAUGUUUUGUCUCUGUUUCAACGACGGCGGCAGUAGCGACACUAGUGAUAGUUAUUGGAUGUGGUGCUCUUCUUUAUUCUGCACUUACCGAAGAACUAUGCUUGGUCAUAGGAGGUUUUCUUUGUCAGAUUCUGAGUUGAAGUGGAGUGCUUCUUAGGGGUCCUUUUAUUGUUGCUUCUAUGUUCCUCCUCUGUGUUCUCUCCUGUUUUCUGUUAUGGUAUGCCUUGUAGUUUGUAUGGGUGUCAAAAUACUAUGAUUUUGCUCAUAGAAGGCUUCUUUUGACAGUUGGGAUAUUCUACGAUCCUCUUCUGUGGGUUUACUAUUUGGGGUUUCUGUCGUUCUCUCAUGUGGGUGUACUAUGUUGGUAUCUAGUUGAGGUUUUCGUCGGAGUUCUUUUUGUUAGUUUUCGUUUUUGAUUUGUUCUUUUAUUGUAAUGGUCCAAAGCGACCAGAAUUAAACUCUCUUGUUAGUCCAUGACAUGUGUGGUACUCUUUUCUCCCCGGGGUUUGUCCCUUGAGAUUGCCCUAGGAAGGUUUUAACGAGGCCACUAUAUCAUGUUGCUCAUUGUACGUCUUUGGUUCUAUUAAUUAAUUCUCUUUCUUAAAAAUAACAAAAAUAAAUAAAUAAAUAAAUAAAAAUUUAGAUUAUUGAUAACGAUGUCAACAAGAGAAAAUGAUUAAAAAGUCCUUUCUCCAAUUCGUGAUGUUACAAAAUGAGACUUCAAAUUGUAAAACUAUAGUUGGAUACGAGUAUAAAACUGAACCAGGCAAUGUAUGGGCCAGAGUGACCAAGGUUGUACGACAGUGAACUAAUGGCAAUUUCUCGUUGCAUGCACGCAUAUGCAAUUGAAGAAUGCCAUAAUAAUAUGUGUUUUUACUAAAUUAUCUACACUAAAAUAAAAACUGAGGCAUUAUCUGAGGCUCUUUCCUUGGCUAGGCCUCAUUUUCAAUUUUGAUUUCAACUUUGAUUUCGCUUAAACUUUGAUUUUGAGCUAGACUGUAAUUUCGACUUUGAUUCUGAUUCUCUCCCAAUUCAUGCCUUAAGAAUCAGUUUCUCCCAACUCUAUUUACCAAAACCAAAAACUCUAAACUUUUCAAUUCGUCUGGGUACUCUCAGAGUUUCAUGCCCUAGUUUCCUCUCGCCAAAAAGCCAAAAAGACUUGGCUUUCAUGUAAUGCUAUACUCCUCGAUUGAACAAGCUGCGUCUUCAAAUUCAACUUUCUCACUUCCCUUCUCUUUACUUUCUUUUCUUUUGUUUUCCAGCCCGGAAAAUCAUGGAAGCAUUACAAAUUUAAGAGAAUAUUCUAGUAUUAGGGUCCAAACUGUACUAUUUAGGUAUUUUCAUUCUGAUUAAGAGUUCUUUUCUAGAAAUUUGGUGAAGAAAAAAUAGAGUUUCUGUUUUAGUGUUUGAUUUUCAUUAUAGUGAGUUAUGUGAAAUCGAAAUGUUUCUUGUGUGAUUUCAUCACUGCUUUCAAAUUGCAAAUUAAGGAUUUGAAGGUUACAAAUUAUUAUGUAGAUAAUUUUUGGGAAUUUAAGAGGCAGUACAGUGUUUGUAUAAGUCUUGAGAUAGACCAAUUUACCACAUGCUCGAUUUCUAUAUAUAAAUUUUUUUAAAUCAUUCUUUUGUUUUAUUUAUUCUGUUAAUUUGUCAUAAUGUGUAAUAUGAUAGCUUCUAAUUCUUUCUUCCUAUUUCUUCUUUUUUGUUAUUCUCUCCCAAAUGAAAUGAAGACCUAACUUAUAUCAAGAAGAAGAGGAUGGAUCCUUACAUAUGAAGAUUUUAAAAUUAACAUUAUUGGAAGACAGUAGGAGUAUCGGCAAUUUGAUACAAGUAUCGGAGUAUCAAAUACGAGCAUGCCCGUCUUUAACAAUGUCUCAUUUCAAUUAGUACAAAAGAAAAAUAAAGGCAGAGUUCAAAAUAGAUUGUUCAGUUUCGAAAGUGACAUUGAGAUUUAAAAAGACUAGACAUUAAGAUGGCAAGAGAGAUCUAAAAGGAUCAAACAAAAAAAAUGAAUGAAAAAUUGAAAAUGCCCUAGAAAGGGAGGAAAUCUUAGUUGCAAUGGGGAUAACAGUAUUUUGCUAUCCUCGAUCAAUAAUUUUAUACCACGUGACCUAAGGAGGCAUGUCAAUCUAGCUCAUCUGGUCCACCGUCCAUGAUAUGAACUCGACUUGAGAGUUUUUUUUUUUUUUUUUUUUUUUUUUUGGGGUUGAAGUAGAACAACUAGACUUGAGAGUUGAUGUCACAUCUCAAGGUCGGUUCCACCGUAGCACGAUAUUGUCUGCUUUGGGCCCCCUCUUUGUCCUCGCGGUUUUGUUUUUAGGAGCUCACGAGCAACUUCCCAGUUGGUCACCCAUCUUGGGAUUGCUCUAGCCCAAACUCACUUAACUUCGGAGUUCUCAUGACUUCGAAAUCAGUGAGCUCCCAAAAGGCCUCGUGCUAAAAGGAGGUGGGCAUAUACAUAUAAGGCGCAACACCCCCUCUCCGUUAGUCGAUGUGGAAUGUUACAAUCCACCCCCUUUAGAGGUCCGACGUCCUCGUCGGCACAGUCUCACCACACGGCAGAGUGGCUCUAUGCCAAAUUGUCGCAUUCCGGGAUCGGCUCCGUCGUAACACGAUAUUGUCCGCGUUGGGUCAACCUCUCUGCCCUCACGAUUUUGUUUCUGGGAGCUUACGAGCAACUUCCCAGUAGAUCACUCAUCCAAACUCGCUUAACUUCGGAGUUCCCAUGACUCCGAAGCCAGUGAGCUCCCAAAAGACCUCGUGCUAAAUGGAGGUAGGCAUGUACAUAUAAGGCACAUCACCUCCGCUCCGUUGGUCGAUGUGGGAUGUUACAGUUGAGGGCUCCGUUGGUCGAUGUACGAUGUUACAGUUGAGGGCUCCGUUGGUCGAUGUAGGAUGUUAUAGUUGAGGCAGCCAAAAUAGAAGGGAAGCAACCCUACUCCACUCCCUCUCCCCAUGUGCCCAGUUCUCUACUCGUUUACUUCACCUUUUAAACCCCUUCGUACUUGAAGACCUGGCUGGCAAUUUGAUUGAAGCGAAAGAGACUAAUUAUCCAUGCUUUUGUUGAAAUCAUUAACAAAAUAAGAAACUUUAGUAAUUGAAGCGAAAGAGACUAAUUAUCAAAACAGAAAAUAUGAAAAAAGAAGCUCCCAAUCCGAACUUUAAGUCACAAGUUUAACAGUUUACUUUAAAACAAAAGCAAGUUACGAAACAAUCCCCUUAUUUACUUGUUAAACAUCAACCGACCCAUUAUUGAUGAGGAUUGAGAAUCUAAGAGCACAUGGACGAUGGAUCUCUCUCCCUUUUUGAAAACAAAAACAAAAACCAACUUCAUUAUCCUUAGUGAAUUUGUUCUGGAUUAGUUGUGUUGCAAUGGAACAUCGAACCUACCUAGCUAAAAGGAAAAAAGAAAGGCCACUACGACAGUACUGCAGUAUAUUAUUCCAAGAAGACAAAUGUAGACUAUAUACGUGAAGAAUAUCUAGUAUUGGUCGUCAUUUUCAAUCCUCAUAAAAGAAAACUUACUUCGCCAUAAUUUCAGGUUGUUCUCAAGGCAGGAAGGUAAGGACACUUGAAAAGAUUCCUUCUCAUCAUCUAUAUAAGGAAAUGUGUUCUCAUCAAGCUAGGGGACAAGGCAAAUUAGCAACCUUUAUACUCGAUAUAUUAUUCCAAGCAGAUAUACAUGUGAAGAAUAUUAUGAUCUUGAUCAAUAUGGAAUCUGUAUCAUGAUCAGUGGAUGUAUCGAUCGACCAUCCAAAGAAAAAGGAUAUCCUCUGCAUAUAUGUGUGCAUGCCAACAACUAUAAAAGGAGACCAUGAGGCAAUGAGUUGAUCAUCAAAGCAAACACACAGAAAUCCCAACUAAAAAUCAAUCAGUGAGACAAUGGCUGGAACUGGAACCAAUGAUAUUAAAAUUAAAGGGUUCGAUGUGAGCAACAACAGCGGCAACACGUCGGGAUUAACCCACUUCGCCAACAGAGCUGCCGAGGGCGACAAGGGCGACAAUAAAAUCGAGGUUGAGGAUGCUAAAGGGCAAGGGAACACGGGAAACUUGAAAGUACUGACCGACUUCGCCCAACGCGGUAAAGUGGGCCAGUCGGAUCGCCAAGAACUUGUCAAACCUCAGGCAUGAAAUUGAAGAAGGCCAUACCAUAACCACUUGUCUGCUUGAUAGAUAUAUGUGCUAAAUUAUCUACACAAAAAUAAGAGCUGAUGUUUUAUCUGAGGCUCCUUCCUUGGUUAGGCCUCGUUAUCAUGUGUAAUAUUAAUAUUAUUAUUCUAAUAAAAUAAUGGUAGCUUAUUAUUAAAUAUACCCAAAUACUAUACGUAUAACUUUUAGAUUAUUGAUACUGGUGUCAACAAGAGAAAAUGAUUAAAAAGUCCUUUCUCGCAUUCGUGAUGUUAGAA